UACGUAGGGGGCAAGCGUUGUCCGGAUUUAUUGGGCGUAAAGAGCGUGUAGGCGGCCAGGUAGGUCUGCUGUGAAAACUCGAGGCUUAACCUCGAGCUGUCGGCGGAAACCAUCUGGCUAGAGUCCGGAAGAGGAGAAUGGAAUUCCCGGUGUAGCGGUGAAAUGCGCAGAUAUCGGGAGGAACACCAGUGGCGAAGGCGGCCAUCUGGAUCAACACUGACGCUGAGGCACGAAAGCGUGGGGAGCAAACAGG
rnacentral:rRNA from 1 species